AGCCCUGCUUACAGCAGCAGUUCUCAGCCCUGGGCUCCCUUUAAAAUCAUCAGAGGAGCUUUAAAAAACCCUGUCUCCCAGUCUUUACCUUCAAACAGCGAUGCCAGAUCUGGGGCCAGAGCCCCAGCAACAUUUAAGGUCUCCAAGGAAUUUUAAUGUGCAACAAAGCUGGAUCAUCUUCUCAAAAGUACAUGAAAAAUAUAUGACUGCCCUGGGCAAGAUAGCAGAAGGUGCUGAAACACAGAACAAAGAGUUGCUCAUGCCUCCUGCCGGCUCUAGUGAGAUGGCCUGGCUGACAGCCCUGGUUUGUGAUCAGUCUGUCUCCCCACUCAUGUUUCCAGCCCUAAUUCAUGAUUUAUAAAUUCCCCUUUCCUUGAUCCUCAAACUUUCCUCCGUCCUCAUUCUCAAUCUGUGCAAAUAAAAGUUCAAAACUG